rnacentral:rRNA from 1 species
AUUGAACGCUGGCGGCAUGCCUUACACAUGCAAGUCGAACGGCAGCACGGGAGCUUGCUCCUGGUGGCGAGUGGCGAACGGGUGAGUAAAGCAUCGGAACGUAUCCGGAAGUGGGGGAUAACGUAGCGAAAGUUACGCUAAUACCGCAUAUUCUGUGAGCAGGAAAGAGGGGGAUCGCAAGACCUCUCGCUUUCGGAGCGGCCGAUGUCGGAUUAGCUAGUUGGUGGGGUAAAGGCUCACCAAGGCAACGAUCCGUAGCGGGUCUGAGAGGAUGAUCCGCCACACUGGAACUGAGACACGGUCCAGACUCCUACGGGAGGCAGCAGUGGGGGAAUUUUUGGACAAUGGGCGCAAGCCUGAUCCAGCCAUGCCGCGUGAGUGAAGAAGGCCUU